GAUGAACGCUAGCGGCAGGCUUAAUACAUGCAAGUCGAGGGGCAGCACGGUUAGCAAUAACUGGUGGCGACCGGCGCACGGGUGCGUAACACGUAUACAAUCUACCUUAAACAGGGGGAUAGCCUUUCGAAAGAGAGAUUAAUACCCCGUAAUAAAUUGAACGGCAUCGUUUGAUUUUGAAAGCUCCGGCGGUUUGAGAUGAGUAUGCGUCUGAUUAGCUAGUUGGUGAGGUAACGGCUCACCAAGGCGACGAUCAGUAGGGGAUCUGAGAGGACUAACCCCCACACGGGUACUGAGACACGGACCAGACUCCUACGGGAGGCAGCAGUAAGGAAUAUUGGUCAAUGGAGGCAACUCUGAACCAGCCAUGCCGCGUGCAGGAUGACGGCCCUAUGGGUUGUAAACUGCUUUUAUACAAGAGAAAACCCUGGUACGUGUACCAGGUUGAUAGUAUUGUAAGAAUAAGCAUCGGCUAACUUCGUGCCAGCAGCCGCAGUAAUAC
rnacentral:rRNA from 1 species